AUUGAACGCUGGCGGCAUGCUUUACACAUGCAAGUCGAACGGCAGCGGGGAGGAGCUUGCUUCUCUGCCGGCGAGUGGCGAACGGGUGAGUAAUACAUCGGAACGUGUCGAGAAGAGGGGGAUAACCACCCGAAAGGGUGGCUAAUACCGCAUAAAUUCUGAGGAAGAAAGCUGGGGACCUAGGAAUAGGCCUAGCGCUUUUUGAGCGGCCGAUGUCGGAUUAGCUAGUUGGUGAGGUAAAGGCUCACCAAGGCGAAGAUCUGUAGCGGGUCUGAGAGGAUGAUCCGCCACACUGGGACUGAGACACGGCCCAGACUCCUACGGGAGGUAGCAGUGGGGAAUUUUGGACAAUGGGGGCAACCCUGAUCCAGCCAUGCCGCGUGUAUGAAGAAGGCCUUAGGGUUGUAAAGUACUUUUGUUAGGGAAGAAAAGUCAGCUGUGAAUAAUGGCUGAUACUGACGGUACCUAAAGAAUAAGCACCGGCUAACUACGUG
rnacentral:rRNA from 1 species